rnacentral:rRNA from 1 species
UACAGAGGUCUCAAGCGUUGUUCGGAUUCAUUGGGCGUAAAGCGCGUGUAGGCGGUCCGGUAAGUCCGCUGUGAAAAGUCGGGGGGCUCAACCCUCGGAUGCCGGUGGAUACUGUCGGGCUCGAGUACGGAAGAGGCGAGUGGAAUUCCGUGGUGUAGCGGUGAAAUGCGCAGAUAUCAGGAGGAACACCAAUUGCGAAGGCAGCUCGCUGGGACGUUACUGACGCUGAGACGCGAAAGCGUGGGGAGCAAACAGG